rnacentral:tRNA from 1 species
AUAAAUAAAGUAUAUUAGUACAGUUUAGUUACAUUAAAUAGGACCUUUUUAGGUAUUUAUA